GAUGAAGAACGUAGCGAAAUGCGAUAAGUAAUGUGAAUUGCAGAAUUCAGUGAAUCAUCGAAUCUUUGAACGCACCUUGCACCCUUUGGUAUUCCGAAGGGUAUGCUCGUUUGAGUGUCAUUGUACUCUCACACUUCUAAUUCCUUUCGGGAUUGGGAGCGGUGGACUUGGGUGUUGCUGCUUUAGUCGUGGCUCACCUCAAAUAAGUUAGUGCAACUCUUGGUUGGACAUAGUACGGCGUGAUAAGUGUCUUCGCCGGCGCCUCUGUAAGGAGGGUGGCCGAUCGGGAGCUCUGUGCUUCAAACCGUCUUCGGACAAUCUUUGACAACUUGACCUCAAAUCGAGUAGGACUACCCGCUGAACUUAAGCAUAUCAAUAAGCGGAGAA
rnacentral:misc_RNA from 1 species